UGCAGGUCACCAGCAAGAAGCAGACUGGAGGAAUUGAGUGGCUUCCAUUAGAGGUUUUGCAGCAUUUUCAAGAGACGGAGAAGAAGCAGGGUAGAAUAUAAAGAUUAAGAUUAAGAAAUGCACGGAUCAUAAAUGAAUAAAUACAGAGAGAAAUGAAAGGGAACCGAUGCGACUGACGUCUGGGAAGAGAAAUGAUUGAGGGCGGGUGAGAGGGUGGAGGUGGAGGGGUGGCGGUGGUGCUGAGGGGACCCUACUGCUGCAUAUCAAUGGGUGCCGUCCAAAUUCCCAGGGAUUAUUGGAAAGGAAAAUGGGGGGAAGGAUCAACGCUUCCUUGGAUCGGUGACGACUGGGUCCUGAGGAAACCACCUUGGGGAAAAGAAAAGAAAAAUACCAGACAUUUGUCCUUUGUGGGUCUUUUUGCGGUCUGGGCUUGCUGUUCCUAAGGCAGUAGCCAGGAAGCCCUUACCCCAAAAAGUAUCUGCAGUGGAUUCUGGCAUCUGAAGCAGACGUCACUCAUUCUCUCUGAUGAAACACAACUUAUCUCUGAACCCCAAGGCUUUUGCUGUGUCAGAAUUUUUUUUCUUUCUAAAAUGAAGAAGAAACUUGGAUCAAGCAUUGACUGAAGAGGGUGUGGCCUGAAAAGAAUGUUUUAUAUGAGUAAAUCUGAAAAUUUUAUCUAAGGAAGUAGCUGAAUGUUCAUUGUAUACAAAGCAACUGUGAUUAAAAUUUUAGAGGAUGCAUUAACAAAUCUUUUAUUAAUUGUUACAUGCUUUUAAACAAAUAUCUAUCCCCUGUGCUUCACAUUUUCAGUGUCCACUGUAUUGCAGCUAGAUUAGAAAGCUUCCCCCUAUAAGAAGCCCAAAAACAGGAUGCAAGCGGUGAAUGACAACGUUGAGGAUAAAUGGACACGUUGCUCUAAGCCUUUGAUGUACUAUGUGUUAAAUUAAUGUGAUUAUUUAUACAAAGCCAUGAGCCUUGACACUGGACUUUAUGUAUCAAAACCAGAGGGACUUUAUGUGCUUUGAAAAAGACUUUGUGACGUCAUUGCUUACAGGACAUGAACAUGCUCUUAAUAAAUGUUACACACAAACACCAACAGUAUUGCUUUGCAGAAAACACAAUUAGCCACACAAAACAGGUUAUAUUACACAGAUCACUCUGUGUUUUAAUGUUGUGCUUUCCCUUUUUUCUAUCUUUAUAUCAUUUCAUUUUUCUUUUGGUGUUUGAUGCUGUCUCUUAAAACAAACAUCUUUAAGAUAAACCCAAACACAUUAAAGAUUUCUAAUUCCAAGUUUAAAAGAAAAACUACAGCAAUUCUCCCAAACAAUACACGCCCUCCUCCAAAAUGACAGAAAACAGACCAGGUGCAGGUGGAAAGUCUUUUUACGUAAUGUCUGAGUGCCUGCAGCCACCAAUAGCCAAACAGGUUCUUCUGACUGGAGCUGGAUAUUCCCAGUUUAAACAACGCCCCCUCUAUUUGUGUGUCACACAUCGCCCUUGGAAAUAGGGCAGUGACUCAUCCAUGUCAUCAGACAGAAACGUGGGGUGUGGAUGCAAUUUUGCUCUUCUUCCUCUUGUAACAGAGUAAAUUGAUUUUGUAACCAACGGCAAAAGGCAGCGGUUUAACUACUUACUUAUUUGUCAAAUACAUUUUGCUGCAUUUAUCUUUUAUUUUGUCGAUGGCCUCUUAUAUUUGGAGCUCAGAUUAUGUUUUGUUUUGAUUAAGUAAGAGAUGCAUUAAAAUACAAGUUGAAUUUCCCAAAUAUUUCAAGGCUUUCCCUAUUUUUAAAUGGCUUUGGAAAAAAUAAUCUGGAAAAGUGGAAAAAAAAUAGUGUGGAGUGAGGAGACAAACCAUACUAUGUGGAAAGCCUGUCAGUAGCUGGGUGAAUAUAGCCCUCCUGAGGAUUUAUUUGGUAUUGCAAUCAGCAAAAGGCAAUGCAUUAAUGACAAAAAA